ACGGAAGGCAGCAGUGGGGAAUAUUGCACAAUGGGGGAAACCCUGAUGCAGCAACGCCGCGUGAAGGAUGACGGUUUUCGGAUUGUAAACUUCUGUUCUCGUUGACGAAGACAGUGACGGUAAACGAGGAGCAAGCCACGGCUAACUACGUGCCAGCAGCCGCGGUGAUACGUAGGUGGCAAGCGUUGUCCGGAAUUACUGGGUGUAAAGGGAGCGCAGGCGGGAGAGCAAGUCAGCUGUGAAAACCACGGGCUUAACCUGUGGACUGCAGUUGAAACUGUUCUUCUUGAGUGAAGUAGAGGUAAGCGGAAUUCCGAGUGUAGCGGUGAAAUGCGUAGAGAUUCGGAGGAACACCAGUGGCGAAGGCGGCUUACUGGGCUUUAACUGACGCUGAGGCUCGAAAGUGUGGGGAGCAAACAGGAUUAGAUACCCUGGUA
rnacentral:rRNA from 1 species